AUCAUCCGUACCACCAUUGAGGUGGCGGGAUAGUUCGCGCGCAACACAGGCCGACAAACCCGCCCUCGAGGCGGGUUUC
rnacentral:sRNA from 2 species